GGCUCCGGUGGCUCAGGAGGACGCUGGUCCGGAGGCAGGAUCCGAGGGCGCUCCUGCUCAGGUGUUCGGUUCAGAAGCCUCAUCUCAGACUGCCUAACCAAAUCCUCUUGACCUAAGAAGAUGAAAAAGAAGAGCUCUGGAAUAAAAGUAUACAAGUAACAGGACCAGAAAGAAAAGGACUCCUUCCUGGAAAAACAUAGAGACAUCUUUCUGUGCACAUCUGGGUAAACAGCAAUAUAGGUAUGAAUGAUUCCUUGUCUAUUUGCUUCGGUUUUUUUGCUUAGUCACUAUUAAUGACUAAUAGUAGUCUCUCAUCAGGCUGUUAUGUUAUAAAAGCAUAAAGAUAACUAUCCUUUGGACUCUUUAAACUUCUAAUGUAGUUUCAUUGAUGGGAGAAAAAAUUACAGAAAGUCACUCUUGAAAAUGCUGCCAAAACUUUAGCCUAAACAUAUGGAUUAGCAGAAUCUUGCAGCUGGUUUACAGUGAGAAACCAGAUGAAUGGAGCAAAAGGCAAUAAAGUGCAAUAAAGUAUGAUUAAAAUAACUA